rnacentral:rRNA from 1 species
CCUACGGGGCGCUGCAGUGGGGGAUAUUGCACAAUGGGGGAAACCCUGAUGCAGCGACGCCGCGUGGGUGAAGAAGCGCCUCGGCGCGUAAAGCCCUGUCAGCAGGGAAGAAAAUGACGGUACCUGAAGAAGAAGCCCCGGCUAACUACGUGCCAGCAGCCGCGGUAAUACGUAGGGGGCAAGCGUUAGCCGGAUUUACUGGGUGUAAAGGGGGCGCAGACGGCGAUGCAAGCCAGGAGUGAAAGACCGGGGCCCAACCCCGGGACUGCUCAUGGAACUGCGUGGCUAGAGUGCAGGAGGGGCAGGCGGAAUUCCUGGUGUAGCGGUGAAAUGCGUAGAUAUCAGGAGGAACACCGGUGGCGAAGGCGGCCUGCUGGACUGCAACUGACGUUGAGGCCCGAAAGCGUGGGGAGCAAACAGGAUUAGAUACCCUAGUAGUC